rnacentral:rRNA from 1 species
ACGGGUGAGUAAUAUAUCGGAACGUGCCCUAGAGUGGGGGAUAACUAGUCGAAAGACUAGCUAAUACCGCAUACGAUCUACGGAUGAAAGUGGGGGAUCGCAAGACCUCAUGCUCCUGGAGCGGCCGAUAUCUGAUUAGCUAGUUGGUGGGGUAAAGGCCUACCAAGGCAACGAUCAGUAGCUGGUCUGAGAGGACGACCAGCCACACUGGGACUGAGACACGGCCCAGACUCCUACGGGAGGCAGCAGUGGGGAAUAUUGCACAAUGGAGGGAACUCUGAUGCAGCAACGCCGCGUGGAGGAUGACGCAUUUCGGUGUGUAAACUCCUUUUAUAUGUCAAGAAAAUGACGGUAGCAUAUGAAUAAGCACCGGCUAACUUCCGUGCCAGCAGCCGCGGUAAUACGGAGGGUGCAAGCGUUACUCGGAAUCACUGGGCGUAAAGGACGCGUAGGCUGGCGGUCAAGUCUGAUGUGAAAUCCUUACAGCUUAACUGUAGAACUGCAUUGGAAACUGACCGCCUAGAGUAUGGGAGGGGGAGAUGGAAUUAGUGGUGUAGGGGGUAAAAUCCGUAGAUAUCACUAGGAAUACCUAAAGCGAAGGCGAUCUCCUGGAACAUUACUGACGCUAAGGCGUGAAAGCGUGGGGAGCAAACGGGAUUAGAUACCCCGGUAGUCCACGCCCUAAACGAUGAACACUAGUCGUCGGGAAGCUUGUCUUCUCGGUGAUGCACUUAACAGAUUAAGUGUUCCGCCUGGGGAGUACGGUCGCAAGAUUAAAACUCAAAGGAAUAGACGGGGACCCGCACAAGUGGUGGAGCAUGUGGUUUAAUUCGACGAUACGCGAAGAACCUUACCUGGCCUUGACAUUGAUUGAAUACACCAGAGAUGGAGUAGUGCCCUUCGGGGAGCAUGAAAACAGGUGCUGCACGGCUGUCGUCAGCUCGUGUCGUGAGAUGUUGGGUUAAGUCCCGCAACGAGCGCAACCCCUCGUCCUUAGUUUGCCAGCAGGUUUAAGCCUGGGCACUUCUAGGGGAGACUGCCCUUCGCUAAGGAGGAAGGAAGGUGAGGGACGACGGUCAAGUCAUCAUGGCCCCUUACGGCCAGGGCUACACACGUGCUACAAUGGGGCGUACAGAGGGUUGCGAUAUCCGCGAGGUGGAGCUAAUCACUUAAAGCCGUCUCCCAGUUCGGAUGGAAGUCUGCAGACUCCGACUCCAUGAAGCUGGAAUCACUAAUAAUCGUAGAUCAGCAAUGCCCCGGGGAAUACGUUCCCGGGUCUUGUACCUCACCGCCCGU